AUGGCUCAGUUCUUUGGAGACAUGAAGGAGAAAUGCUCACAGAGUGUGGUGAUCAAGGACAUGGAGGCUGCGGUGUUCAAGGCCCUGCUUCACUACAUCUACACUGACACUGUGGCUGAAUUCGACGAGAAGGGUGAGGAGGUGACAAUGUUAGCCCAGCACUUGCUUGCAGCUGCUGACAGAUACGGGCUGGACAGGCUCAAGCUGAUCUGCGAAGGCAAGCUCUCUGAUGGCAUCAAUGUCGACACUGCAGCGACGUCUCUGGCUCUUGCCGAGCAGCACAACUGUCCACGGCUCAAGGCGAAGUGCGUCCAGUUCAUCAUUAGAAAUCGUGAGGUUCUUGAUGCUGUGUUGGCAACGGAGGGGUACAAGUACCUGGCGGCAAGCUGCCCUUCGGUGUUGGCUGACCUUCUCAAGUCGAGCCUGCGCGUCGGAUAA
rnacentral:rRNA from 1 species